rnacentral:tRNA from 1 species
GGAGGCGUGGCCGAGCGGUUCAAGGCGCCGAUCUCGAAAAUCGGUUGGGCGCAAGCCCUCGCAGGUUCGAAUCCUGCCGCCUCCGCCA